rnacentral:misc_RNA from 1 species
GAUGAAGAACGUAGCGAAAUGCGAUAAGUAAUGUGAAUUGCAGAAUUCAGUGAAUCAUCGAAUCUUUGAACGCACAUUGCGCCCGCCAGCACUCUGGCGGGCAUGCCUGUUCGAGCGUCAUUUCAACCAUCAAGCCCCCAGGGGCUUGUGCUGGGGCCCUGCGGCUGCCCGCAGGCCCUGAAAACCAGUGGCGGGCUCGCUAGUCACACCGAGCGCAGUAGCACAUCUCGCUCAGGGCAUGCGGCGGGCUCCUGCCGUGAAACCCCCCACUGUAACCCCAAAGGUUGACCUCGGAUCAGGUAGGAAUACCCGCUGAACUUAAGCAUAUCAAUAAGCGGAGGA